UGCAAGGGGCCCACAUUGUCCCCGUAACAAAGACUCGCCAGCUCCCCCGUGACGCUCUGCAGUCCGGGGCUGAGCAGCUACAGGCGGGGGCUGGGAGCCCCAGAGCCCGCUCCGGAUCUCACACGGGGCGCCCGCACCGCAGGCAGCGCGCACGCCCAGCGGCGGGGCAAAGCAGCCCGGCUCCGCGUCCGCUGCGACCAAGCGGGGCUGAGCGAGGCGCGAGGACAAACGCGUUCAGCCCCGCUAGCGCCCAGCCCGGGAGGGACGCCCCUGUUUGCCAGCGGGCUGAGCAGCCAGACUGAUAAAAAAGGCAGCCCAAGCCGCAAGCUGGCCGGGCAGGGGCAGCCGCACAACGUGUGCUAGGGCAGGCGGCUCUCCCCCGCCUUCCCGAAGCGCUGCCGAGCUAGAAACCAGCAGCCAACCUUAACCACACACCGAACACGCUCCUCCCGGACCCGCCAGUGCAAACCAGGAGGAGGCUUCCUUUGCAAGCAACCCAAAGGAUUAGAUAUAGAUAUGGAGAGGGGAGUACUGUACCUUUUCGGUGCAUGUAUCUAGGCAGCUAGAGAACAGAACUAGCUGAUGUAGUGUCCCAUUUAGUAAUCCAUUUAAGGGGAUCUCUCUGGGAAACUGGAUCCACUCUCUCCUUUGCAAUCCUUUGUCAUUACUACAUGUGUGCUUCUUUGGGGGAUGGGAUGUUUAAUAUUGCUACUUUCUGGAAUGCAAAUGCAAUUUGCUCAUUUCCAAUGACGGGAGAGAAAAGGGGGAAGAGGAAAAAAGGUUUAGCAACUCCUCUCCAAACCCAAAUUCCACUAGGAUCCCACUCCAGGAAGUCCCCUUCAGUCGAAUCUUAGGAGAUAAGUCAUUUCAGGGUCUUGUCCUGCUCCCUUUCUACCAAAAGUGCGCCAGGUGUAGAGGCUGCUUCAGGAAAACUCCUAGGCAGGCGGCACUCUGUGCGCCACGGCAGGAAAGCGCGGUUGCUUUAGCCCAAAGCUCCUGGUCAUUGAACUGUGUUUGUAGAGGAGUUCAGAGCAACCUCUCUCCUUGUGCCCUGCCUCUCUUCCCACUGCUAGUCUCCGAGUCCCAACUCCUCUGUCAAAGGAAGGCAGCUUCUCUGCGGGUGGAGUGAAAUCCCGGACUGGAUCUCUCCAGAUGGACUCACUUGAUUCCACCCACCCUUCCUCUCCAGUCCCUUGCUAUACCGAACAAGGAUGAGCAUGUGCAAUGGGUAGGGGAUAGGGUGAGAGCAUGGCGAGUUUCCAAGUGGAUAUCCCCCCCCCCCCCCGACAUAUACAAACAAGAAGAUAACGAAAGUGAAGAGCUGAAAAAGCCCUUACCCCAUAUACAGUACAUAUUUAUGUACAGUACUGUGUUUGUAAUCAGGACUGGGGAUGAAGCAGUGACGAGAGAAGUAUUACUGAUUCCUGACGCAAAAAAGGCAAGGAAGAAGUGCUCCAGGAGACGAGAUACAUGAAAGGAUUUGCUCAUCGAUUUUCUUAAAUGAAAAAGUUUUAAAGGAUGAGGGUGCAUGAAGAGAGGAAAAGGGAUAACCUUUCUUCUACAAACAUUAACUUGCCAAGACACAGCCUCCAUCCAUCGCCCGCGGUAAAAGAGACUUUUUUUAAAGGAAACUUGCCAAAGGCCAAUACAUCCUCACUCCUCUCCAUUCCCAAGGCAUAUCCUUAUUUCUACCCCAUAUGUAUAUGCUUAGGUCUACCUCAGAUUUGUACUGAGUGAGGCAAGCAUAAAUGCUGGCAAUCGAAAUUUUCCACCACCGCGAUUGUUCACUAAAGCUGUUUUCCAUACCAGUAGCAAUGUUUCGUUUUAAGAGAAAGCAGCAGCAAAAGAGCAGGGAGCUAUACUUGUAUAUCAAGAUCUGCAGAAGGAGAGAGCUGAAAAGAUGACAAUAAAAAAGUGCCCGGAGACAAAAACAAA